UAGAGCAGUAGCUCACCUGUGGACUCUAAGCCUGCAUCGUCAUUAUCCCUUGAGAACUUGCUAGAAAUGUAAAUUCCACAACCCACCCCAGGUGUUUUAACAAGCCCUCCAGCUGACCCUGAUGAACACUCAAGUUUGAGAACUGCUGGGCUAGAGGUUGAGUUCAACUCGAGAAGCAAACAGACCAUGCUCUGCCAUCUUCCGUCUCCCUCAGCUGCUGUUUUGUUUAUGAAACCAGAAGUUGCUGUCGCACCAGUCACAUCACGGGCAUCCACAGUCAGCAUCUUCCAUGUGACUCCAAAUCCUGUGCUCACUUGACCUACUGGGGUCCCAGAUACCUACAAAGAAAGAGUUUAGAAGAUGGACCUGUCCUUUUCGUUCUAUUUUAUGGAGCUGCACUUGGGAGUUGGGUCUUCCAGUGGCGAGGGGAACCACACAAACAAUCCCCAGGGCCUUUGCCAUCACUAUCCGGGGCCGCCCCUCCUGAACCACACCCACGUGCCGUGCUCCGGUGCCUUCUCGCCUGGACCACCCGCCAUGCGCCCGGCAGCCAGUGAUAGGUUCUGUGAUGGAGCCCCCAGCUGUGACAGUGAGGCCAACGCUAAGUCCGGAAAAUGGAGAGCUCCCCUGAAGAGCAGCCAGACCCUGACCCAGGGGCGAGGAGAAAUGGGACACACUAGGGACGGGCUCACCUGAUGACACAAUUGUGCCUUUGGAAGUUUGUGGUGCCAUCCUUAUAAAAAGGUAAGUAGGUGCAGAA